rnacentral:lncRNA from 1 species
AGCAUAGAGAAGAGAAAUGAGAAGUGGUUGUACAUGGAAUUGCAGGGAUCAUGUAGGUUGUUAAUCGAUAAGAGAGGAGUCAUGCCUUUUUAGUCCACCUUGCUACCUCUCCAUCCCCCUUCUCUUGUGCAUGAAGAAUAUUAUUACAGAACGAUGUUGACAUUACAUUGUAAAAGACAAAAUGUUGGAUUUUAUUUGGGCUUGUUAGUUGGAUCUGAUUGGAUUUAUUGCUAAAAAAGAAAAGGGAAAUGAGAAACCUAACACAUAGACCAACAAUCUUUUAUGGAGUUUAGGAUAUUUUGGGAACAAAAAUUGACAAUAAGGAAUCCAGGAUAUUUUCAAAAUAAUUCUAAAAUUUAAAAAUUUCCUUUAAAUAUUGUAAAAAAUAUGUAGAAUGUAACAUACAUUGCAUGUCCUUGACUAAAAAGCCAUAACUAUCUACCAUUGGAAUAAAACAUUGGCAUCUGUUUCAUCAUUGUUUGAGAAUAUUACAUGAUCGGUUCUCGUCAACAACCAUUUGGAUUGGUGUAGUAAUUCCAGCUAGUGCAUCUUUGGGAGAUAAAAUAGCUUGUCAUGAGUUCAAUGUUAGUAAUGUUUCCUGGAUCCAUUUAAGUUUCUCAAUGAUCAGAUUCUUGGAUACUUGGAACACUUAAUGAACUCCUUGAUUUUUAAAUCAUCGAAUCAUGAUAUCAACAUCAUUUGAUGUACUUUGGCAAUGUUCAAUAAAACUUUCAAGUCUGACACAGCAUGGAGCUAGGGUGUUAUCAAUCAACAUCAGUGCAUGUACUUUGGCAUUGUUCGAUAAAUUUUCAAGUCUAACACAAUAUGGUGCUAGGAUUUUAUCAACUUUACAAAAUUAAGGAGCAGUCCAUCUAAUGGAUAUAAUUUUACCACACCAAUUAGAUCGAUCAGACAGAUGAAGAAAGUUCUAUGCUCUCAUGAAUCACUAGCUGCUCAUAAAUUCAUCUGGCACUGAGACUUUCUGGCCUGGAACUGAAGGCUGUUCUAGGAAAGUCCAUUGCUGAAUUGUCUUGAAACUUUUUUUGUUUUGAGAGAAGAAUUGUCUUGCAACGUUGCUCAUGGAGAUCUUCUUGUGUUCACAAAAGAAAUCCAAAUUAAUAGGUAGAUUGAAAGAAUGUUUCCAGAUUUUUAGGGGCAACAUAGACGUGGAAACCCCAAUAGAAUAGCCUAUUUCUUCCUACAUUUUAAGGCCCGGGGGGGGGGGGUGCAAGGCGGUGAGGGAUGAAACUAAUUUCUUUACUAGAACAGUCCAUCUUUGAUCAGUUCCACAAUUUGGCAUGCUGGUCAGAGGAAGAUGUUGAUGUAGGAGAAGUUUUAUGUUAAGAUGGAAAAUAUAGCCCACUGUAAUUAGAUGGGAUUAAUAGGUAACAUAUAAGAUGAGCAUAGAGAAGAGAAAUGAGGAGUGGUUGUGCAUGGAAUUGCAGGGAUCAUGUAGGAUGUUAAUCGAUGAGAGAAGAGUCAUGCUUUUUUAGUCCAUCUUGCUACCUCUCCAUCCCCCUUCUCUUGUGCAUGAAGAAUAUUAUUACAGAACAAUGUUGACAUUAAAUUGUAAAACACGUAAUGCUGGAUUUUAUUUGGACCUGAAAGUUGGAUCUGAUUGGAUUUAUUGCUAAAAAAAGAAAAGGGAAAUAAGAAACCUAGCACAUAGGCCAACAAUCUUUUAUGGAGUUUAGGAUAUUUUGGGAACAAAUAUUGACAAUCAGGAAUUCAAGAUAUUUGCAGAAUAUUUCUAAAAUUUAAUUUCCUUUAAAUAUUGUAAGAAAUAUAUAGAAUGUAAUAUACAUUACAUGUCCAUGACUAAAAAGCCGUAACUAUCUAUCGCCGGCAUAAAACAUUGGCAUCUGUUUCAUUAUUGUUUGAGAACAUUAUAUGAUCAGUUCUUGACAACAACUAUUUGAAUUGGUGUAGUAAUUCCAACUAAUGCAUCUUUGGGUGAUAAAAUGGCUUGUCAUGAGUUCAAAUGUUUGUAACAUUUCCUGGAUUGAUUUCAGUUCCUCAAUGAUCAGAUUCUUGGAUACUUGGAAGUUGGAACACUUAAUGGACUCCUUGAUAUCAACAUUAUUUGAUGUACUUUGGCAAUGUUAGAUAAAAUUUUCAAGUCUGAUGCAGCAUGGAGCUAGGGUGUUAUCAAUCAACAUCACUUCAUGUACUUUGGCAUUGUUCGAUAAAUUUUCAAGUCUAACACAAUAUGAAGCUAGGAUUUUAUCAGCCUUACAAAAUUAAGGAGCAACUCAUCUAAUGGAUGUAAUUUUACCAGACCAAUUAGAUCUUUGAUCAGACAGAUGAAGAAAGUUCUAUGCUCUCAUGAAUCACUAGCUGUUCAUAAAUUCAUCUUGCACUGAGACUUACUGGCCAGGAACUGAAGGAUGUUUCAGGAAAGUCCAUUGCUGAAUUGUCUUGAAACUUUUUUUUUGUUUUGAGAGAAGAACUGUCUUGAAACUUAAACCCCCAAGAUGGUUUCUAGACCUCAAUAAGAUUUUCAAAUGAAGAGUUAAACAAACUACUAUCAUUGAUUUCUGUGGAUCUUAUUCCAAGUUACUGUA